CUGUUAACCAGGAGGAAGUGGAACUGAGAGAAGGUCAAAUCCAGAUCUAAGAGGAGACGGAGAGAUUCAGGGAGGAGCUAAGAUGUUACUGAACUAUAGAAGAGAGAGGAACUUCUAUAUUCAGCAGAGUUCAAUACACAAACCAUCAACAUUACCUUCAUUCAACAUGCUCUCAUUGGACUGUUAUGGACUUUCUCUACUGUUUGUCACUAUUCUAACAGGUGUCAGCUGUGAAGAACUCACUACAGUCAAGAAUGAAGAGUCUAGUUUAGAAGACAGCACUGUUACUCUGUCCUACACAUACUCUAAACAACCAACUGGUAGUGAUUAUUUCUUCUGGUAUCGACAAUAUCCAGGAAAACCACCAGAGUUCAUCGUCUCACACUCUUCUUCAGGAGAAGUAGGAACUUUUAAAAUCCCUGGAAUGGAGAUUGAAGUGGAUCAGAAGCAAAUCAAUCUGAACAUCUCCUCUGCUGCAGUGUCAGACUCUGCUGUGUACUACUGUGCUGUGAAGCCCACAGUGACAGGAAACACCUAAACUCUGUACAAAAACCUUUGGAGCAAAGACAA